UCGGAUAUGGUGUAACGGCUAACAUGGCUGUCUUUCAGGGAUACAAUGGCCUGAUCACAGCAGCCCCGGGUUCGACUCCCGGUAUCCGAA